rnacentral:tRNA from 1 species
GCCUUCGUGGUGUAACGGUAGCACACUCGGCGCGUAUUCGAGAGACCCUGGUUCAAGUCCCGGAGACGGCA